GUACUACAGAGGAAUUCUCUUCUGUCCCCAUGUAGCUUAAUCUCUUGUCCUCUGAGAAACUCAGGAAAAGAUAUAGAUGGCUCUUGAAAGAGCAGCAUUAUGAAGUCACAGCAUUGGAGAAUUGUAGGUGUUGGAAGGGACCUCUGAAGAUCAUCUUGGUCCUACUCCCACCUGCCCACCCAUUGACCAGCAUUAAGACAAUGCUGCAGACCUCAGCAUUUUGGAGAAAUUUUGAACUACAGGGAAAGAAAGGAAUAAAACAACAACUAACCAACCAAAACUGUUUCAAAGGAAAAUCAGCAAAUAAAGAAAGAUAAUUGUGGUAUAACCUGCAGACCUCAAGUUCGCCGGCUAAUGCAGCUCUGCAGAGACAUGCUGGGUCCCCUUUGAACCCUGGGGCUGGCACACCCUCAGGAGCCAUUCAAAGCGGAUUAGCUACAGCUGCUCUGGGUGGGUUCAGGAUGGAUUUCCAGCCUGCUGCCUGUGUGAAGAUGUACUAGAAAUGACAUGAAAGGACUGAAGCCCCACUGGGGAUGUCAAGGGCCUGAAAGCCAUGAGGUGCCCCCACACAGAGGAAUCCCAAAGGUUUGAAGGAAACUCCCCACUCUGGAGAGAGCUGCUUCUCAUCCCCCCCUACCAGGAGGACACCCAGCUGAGAGCUGCAAUUCUUAUUUGUCUGGAGGAGAGGAAGGCUUAGGGAGCACAGUGGCACAGAAAGACAAGCCUUUCUUCUGGGUAUGACUUCACAAAGCUUCUGGAGAUUUCUUCUUUUCCUCCUGUUCCAGCUGAAGAUGAAAGAUAAAAUCUCAAGCUUCUGUGAAUUGAAAAAUGAAACAAAAUUAAAACAAAACCAACUGGUUGGGGUCAAUUAAAAUGUUUUGUUUCAGUAGUCUCUGAACAUGCUGUUAAUAAUCAGCCUAAAUGGUGGAACAAGGGUGUUUCAAAUUGCAAUCUUGAUUGUUAAAGUGGGACCUUUCAAGAAUUUCAGGGCUGUUUUGUUUUUUUUUAUCUGAGCCAUUUGUCAAGGCUGUUCUCAUUUUGCCCUCUGAAAGUUUCAGCUUUAAUAAACCUGCUCCACUUCUGACA
rnacentral:lncRNA from 1 species